AGCGACAGGCUUAACACAUGCAAGUCGAGGGGCAGCACGAUGUAGCAAUACAUUGGUGGCGACCGGCGCACGGGUGAGUAACGCGUAUGCAACCUACCUAUCAGAGGGGAAUAACCCGGCGAAAGUCGGACUAAUACCGCAUAAAACAGGGGUUCCACAUGGAAAUAUUUGUUAAAGAAUUAUCGCUGAUAGAUGGGCAUGCGUUCCAUUAGAUAGUUGGUGAGGUAACGGCUCACCAAGUCCACGAUGGAUAGGGGUUCUGAGAGGAAGGUCCCCCACACUGGUACUGAGACACGGACCAGACUCCUACGGGAGGCAGCAGUGAGGAAUAUUGGUCAAUGGGCGAGAGCCUGAACCAGCCAAGUCGCGUGAAGGAUGAAGGAUCUAUGGUUUGUAAACUUCUUUUAUAUGGGAAUAAAGUGAGGAACGUGUUCCUUUUUGUAUGUACCAUAUGAAUAAGCAUCGGCUAACUCCGUGCCAGCAGCCGCGGUAAUACGGAGGAUGCGAGCGUUAUCCGGAUUUAUUGGGUUUAAAGGGUGCGUAGGUGGUUAAUUAAGUCAGCGGUGAAAGUUUGUGGCUCAACCAUAAAAUUGCCGUUGAAACUGGUUGACUUGAGUAUAUUUGAGGUAGGCGGAAUGCGUGGUGUAGCGGUGAAAUGCAUAGAUAUCACGCAGAACUCCGAUUGCGAAGGCAGCUU
rnacentral:rRNA from 1 species